AAAGGGCAGCUCAGAGGCUACUCACUCAGAUGCAGCCACAGAGAGGAGGGGAGAGUUGCUCCAGAGAAAAGGGCAGCCCCAGAUGCUUGUUUGGAGAGAAAGGACCACUGAAAGGUUCUACUUACGGAGGAGUACUUUACAUUCAUCUCAGAUGACUGGAGCACAUAUCAGGAAGACCCAGGAAAGUGCUGACCUUCCCGUUCUUGUGGCUCUUAUCAGACUAGAUGCUCACCCUCUCCGCACACAGGACCAUCUUGAGGGGGGCAUCCCAUGUAAGCAAAAUGUGGAAAAGCCAGUGACCAUCAACAAAACAAAACAUCAAAGCCAACUAAUAAAGGGAGAAAGACAAUAUUUGGGAGAACGAGGAGCACAAUGGAUGUUUGGGGAUGUGAAGAGAGAAGAAAUGGAGAAGGAAGCCUACCUCUCUCCCUUUCUGGGGCAUCAGUGUCUUCUCUGGUCUUUUAAGCAAGUGAAAGGAUGUUGUCCAACCAAAGUACCAUUUACAAAUACAAUAUUCUCUUUAUGGCAACGCUCUAAAUGCCGGCCCCAGUGUUUUGAUCCUCAAAUGGAAGUGUGACCGUUGUGCGAGAGGAACUCUUACAGGAGUAACUACAGUGGACGGCUUUACAUUGGGGAUGAUGGGAUUCCUGCACCUGAACCUCGCAUCCCCUGAUACAACAGGCACUCGCUGGGUGCUGAAUUAUGGCCGUGCCACCUGUGAAGCGGGGACUUGUAUGUGAUCCUGCUGAAGAAACAAGACACACAUACACAGACGAAGGAGAGAAGCCACCAUCAGGCCCAAUGUCACGGUGAGCUGUGGGAGACCAGAGUUAGGGGGGUGAAUAUGAAGAUUUAUGUAAUGCCUUUUACGUGGUUGGCAG
rnacentral:lncRNA from 1 species